CCUACGGGAUGCUGCAGUGAGGAAUAUUGGUCAAUGGACGAGAGGCUGAACCAGCCAAGUAGCGUGAAGGAUGACUGCCCUAUGGGUUGUAAACCGCUUUUGCACGGGGAUAACACCAUCCCCUUGUGGAGGUCUGCAGGUACCGUGCGAAUAAGCGCCGGCUAAUUCCGUGCCAGCAGCCGCGGUAAUACGGAAGACCCGAGCGUUAUCCGGAUUCAUUGGGCUUAAAGGGAGCGUAGGCGGGCGUGCAAGUCAGCGGUAAAAUCGCGCGGCUCAACCGCGCCCAGCGGUUGAAACUGGACGCCUUGAGAUGACAAGAGGUAGGCGGAAUUCGCGGUGUAGCGGUGAAAUGCAUAGAUAUCGCGAGGAACCCCGAUUGCGAAGGCAGCCUACCGGCGGGCGACUGACGCUGAGGCUCGAAGGCGUGGGUAUCAAACAGGAUUAGAUACCCUAGUAGUC
rnacentral:rRNA from 1 species